rnacentral:rRNA from 1 species
UACGAGAGGCCCAAACGUUAUUCGGAAUUACUGGGCUUAAAGAGUUCGUAGGCGGCAUUGCAAGUAGGGUGUGAAAGCCCUCGGCUCAACCGAGGAAUUGCGCUCUAAACUGCAGUGCUUGAGGAAGCUAGAGGUGAGCAGAACAGAUGGUGGAGCGGUGAAAUGCGUUGAUAUCAUCUGGAAUACCGGAGGCGAAGGCGGCUCACUGGGCUUUCUGACGCUGAGGUAACGGAAAGCAUGGGGAGCGAACAGGA